AAAGCUGGCGGACGUGCCUACACAUGCAAGUCCAACGGAACUGUAACAGCGAGGAGGCUUCGGUCAAAUCAAGUUGCAGUUUAGUGGCGGACGGGUGAGUAACGCGUGGAUAACCUGCCAUACACAGGGGGAUAACAGUUAGAAAUGACUGCUAAUACCGCAUAAGCGCACGAGGGGGCAUCCUCAGGUGUGAAAAGCGAACACGGUGUAUGAUGGGUCCGCGUCCGAUUAGCCAGUUGGCGGGGUAAGAGCCCACCAAAGCGACGAUCGGUAGCCGGCCUGAGAGGGUGAACGGCCACAUUGGGACUGAGAGACGGCCCAAACUCCUACGGGAGGCAGCAGUGGGGGAUAUUGCACAAUGGGGGGAACCCUGAUGCAGCGACGCCGCGUGAGUGAGGAAGUUAUUCGUAAUGUAAAGCUCUAUCAGCAGGGAAGAAGAAGACGGUACCUGACUAAGAAGCACCGGCUAAAUACGUGCCAGCAGCCGCGGUAAU
rnacentral:rRNA from 1 species